GAUGAACGCUGGCGGCGUGCCUAAUACAUGCAAGUCGAGCGAACGGACGAGAAGCUUGCUUCUCUGAUGUUAGCGGCGGACGGGUGAGUAACACGUGGAUAACCUACCUAUAAGACUGGGAUAACUUCGGGAAACCGUAGCUAAUACCGGAUAAUAUUUUGAACCGCAUGGUUCAAAAGUGAAAGACGGUCUUGCUGUCACUUAUAGAUGGAUCCGCGCUGCAUUAGCUAGUUGGUAAGGUAACGGCUUACCAAGGCAACGAUGCAUAGCCGACCUGAGAGGGUGAUCGGCCACACUGGAACUGAGACACGGUCCAGACUCCUACGGGAGGCAGCAGUAGGGAAUCUUCCGCAAUGGGCGAGAGCCUGACGGAGCAACGCCGCGUGAGUGAUGAAGGUCUUCGGAUCGUAAAACUCUGUUAUUAGGGAAGAACAUAUGUGAAAGUAACUGUGCACAUCUUGACGGUACCUAAUCAGAAAGCCACGGCUAACUACGUG
rnacentral:rRNA from 1 species